rnacentral:rRNA from 1 species
UACGGAGGAUCCGAGCGUUAUCCGGAUUUAUUGGGUUUAAAGGGAGCGUAGGCGGGUUGUUAAGUCAGUUGUGAAAGUUUGCGGCUCAACCGUAAAAUUGCAGUUGAUACUGGCAUCCUUGAGUACAGUAGAGGUAGGCGGAAUUCGUGGUGUAGCGGUGAAAUGCUUAGAUAUCACGAAGAGCUCCGAUUGCGAAGGCAGCCUGCUGGACUGUAACUGACGCUGAUGCUCGAAAGUGUGGGUAUCAAACAGG